CAGCCGCCACGGGAAUACGUAGGGUGCAAGCGUUAAUCGGAAUUACUGGGCGUAAAGCGUGCGCAGGCGGUUUGUUAAGACAGAUGUGAAAUCCCCGGGCUCAACCUGGGAACUGCAUUUGUGACUGGCAAGCUAGAGUGUGGCAGAGGGGGGUGGAAUUCCGCGUGUAGCAGUGAAAUGCGUAGAUAUGCGGAGGAACACCGAUGGCGAAGGCAGCCCCCUGGGCCAACACUGACGCUCAUGCACGAAAGCGUGGGGAGCAAACAGGAUUAGAUACCCGUGUAGUCCCUGUCUCUUAUAC
rnacentral:rRNA from 1 species